rnacentral:rRNA from 1 species
CAACAGGGAUUGCCUUAGUAACUGCGAGUGAAGCGGCAAAAGCUCAAAUUUGAAAUCUGGCGUCUUCGGCGUCCGAGUUGUAAUUUGGAGGGAUAUCUUCGGAGUUGGCGCCGUCCUAAGUUCCUUGGAACAGGACGUCAUAGAGGGUGAGAAUCCCGUGCCUGGAUGGCUGUCCAUCUCCAUGUGAAGUGUCUCCGACGAGUCGAGUUGUUUGGGAAUGCAGCUCAAAAUGGGUGGUAAAUUUCAUCUAAAGCUAAAUAUUGGCGAGAGACCGAUAGCGCACAAGUAGAGUGAUCGAAAGAUGAAAAGCACUUUGAAAAGAGAGUUAAAAAGUACGUGAAAUUGUUGAAAGGGAAGCGCUUGAGACCAGACUCAAUCUUUGGUGAUCAGCUGUGCUUCUGUACAGUGCACUUGCCAUUGAUUGGGCCAGCAUCGGUUCUGACGGUGGGAUAAAAGGUCGAGGAAUGUGGCUCUCUUCGGGGAGUGUUAUAGCCUCGAUCAUAAUGCUGCCAGUUGGGACCGAGGACCGCGCUUCGGCUAGGAUGCUGGCGUAAUGGUCUUAAGCGACCCGUCUUGAAACACGGACCAAGGAGUCUAACAUCUAUGCGAGUGUUCGGGUGGAAAACCCUUGCGCGUAAUGAAAGUGAACGGAGGUGGGAACCCUUACGGGUGCACCAUCGACCGAUCCUGAUGUUUUCGGAAGGAUUUGAGUAAGAGCAUAGCUGUUGGGACCCGAAAGAUGGUGAACUAUGCCUGAAUAGGGUGAAGCCAGAGGAAACUCUGGUGGAGGCUCGCAGCGGUUCUGACGUGCAAAUCGAUCGUCAAAUUUGGGUAUAGGGGCGAAAGACUAAUCGAACCAUCUAGUAGC